rnacentral:rRNA from 1 species
GACGAACGCUGGCGGCGUGCCUAACACAUGCAAGUCGAGCGAGGUAUUUGCGACUGAUUCCUUCGGGAAGAAGCUGCAAAUCACCUAGCGGCGGACGGGUGAGUAACGCGUGAGGAACCUACCUCCUACAAAGGGAUAGCCUCGGGAAACUGGGAUUAAUACCUUAUGACACUUAAGAGUCGCAUGACUUUUAAGUAAAGCGUUUUAGCGGUAGGAGAUGGCCUCGCGUCCCAUUAGCUAGUUGGUGAGGUAACGGCUCACCAAGGCGACGAUGGGUAGCCGGCCUGAGAGGGUGGACGGCCACACUGGAACUGAGACACGGUCCAGACUCCUACGGGAGGCAGCAGUGGGGAAUAUUGCACAAUGGGCGGAAGCCUGAUGCAGCGACGCCGCGUGAGUGACGAAGGCCUUCGGGUCGUAAACUCUGUCCUAAGGGACGAUAAUGACGGUACCUUAGGAGGAAGCCCGGCUAACUACGUGCCAGCAGCCGCGGUAAGGAGUAGUACA